GCAUUGGUGGUUCAGAGGUAGAAUCUUUGCCUGCCAUGCGGGAGGCCCAGGUUUGCUUCCCAGCCUAUGCA
rnacentral:tRNA from 1 species